AAUGAAUAAAUAACCGUUUAGUUAAAAUUGAAAGUUUAAAAGAGAAUUGGUUAAGUUAAAGAAAUGAAGGACUAAAGUGGCUAAUUAGCCAAUCUAUAUAAAGAAAAGAAAGAGAUCAGAUAGAGGAAGAAGAAGGAGCGUACAGAAGGUUUUAGGCGAUCGAUUCGAUCCGCCGCGGUUUCGCCGUUUCUCGUCCAAAUCGAGUGAUUCUCGCGCCGAUGGAUUAAGAAUUCAAUUCCCUAUCAUCUUUAAGCUUCAAAUCGAGGAAGUGGAUACAUCGACGAGGUACGAGAUCGACGAGCUGGAAUAGUUAAAAGAGUGAAUGACGUGUGGAGCUUACGUUUGGAUAUAAGGAAUAGCGAUCGUUGUGUAUAGAGUCGGAUCAGACAGACCGUCUUUGGUGUGCUGGGUACAAGACCCCUUGGUGCUGCAGUAGUAUACGUGUGACGAGUCUUAGCCUAGUAUAGUUAGGUCUUAUAGGUUGUGUACGUGUUUAAUGUUUGUUUGAUGUGACAUCUUUUGGUUGUCAGUUUUUGUAUUGAUCGAUAGAUGGGCUAGUACGUACCAGUUACGGAAGUGAAAUGCCCACUAUGAUUGUAUCGAUGAUGUGUCUAUAUAUGAUGUUAUGUUAUGAUUGUAAACGUGUCUUUCUUAUUAUAUGUCUAUAGGAUAGUUGUGUUUGCGUUUCCGCGAAAAAGUUAGAGUGGUUUUAGGCUUGCUACGGGUUUCGGAGCUACCACUCCCAUUCCCUAGCGCCGGUCUCGGCUCAA